GGAAAUUCGACAUGGAUUGAUUAUAUAAAAUUAGUUUUGGGAUAAGGGAAGCUAGCCAUAUAAGCCUUUUCAAGCCACAUGCAUCUCAAGGUAGGUUGUCUUCUUCUUUUUCUUCCCACUCUCACGAAAAUUCCUCUCUCUCUUUCUCUCAACCGACUUACAGUCACAAGCAGCAGCUCGUCACUGGCCACGAGUCUAAACGUCGACCAAGCAAAUUCACCGUCAUACCGGAAAGAUCUGCCAUUGUCUGUAGUCAUGCGUCACUGGUUUUGGCUUACCCAUAAUAUCCUGAUGUUAGAUUUGAGUCUUCGAGACUUUUGGAUCACUGUCCAGCAGUUAGAGAUCUUUUCAAAAGAUUUUGGAACCUUUGGUUGAAGACUUGGAGUGGUUAUCGGAUCAAACCCCAAUUUAGGAUUUUCUUCAAUGUUUCCAAGAGCCUAAAGGGAGUUUAGUUGUUGAAUAAAAUAUCUGGAUUUAAUUUCGAGGUAAGUAGCUUUACUACUAGAAUGCCCUCGAGUCCGAUAAAUUUAUUUAUAAUGAUUUUAUUAUGUAUGAUGACUAAAACAUGAUUAUUUUUUAUAUGAUUGACUAUGUAAAUUUUGAUUGAUAAGCAUGUAUACAAGUUUAGCAUGAACUAUGAUAUUAUGUGAUUACAUGUCAAUUUUAUGUGGGACCUUCAUGUGUAUGUUAUGACAAACUACGACACGACUCGCCUUCCAAGCACAUGACACGAUUCGUUUUGAAAGGCACAUGACACGACUCGCCUGGAAAGGUACAUGACACGACUCGCCACUAAGAAACAUGAUACACUUGCCUGGAGAGGCACAUGUCACACACUUGCCUGAAAGGUACAUGUCACAAUUAGCCUGAAAAGGCAUAUGAUACACACAAGCUCUGGAUGGUACCUGACAUGAAAAACGCCUCAGAAAGGCAGAUGACAAGAAAAGGCCCUUAAGUGGCACAUGACACAGUUUUUGUCUAUUGGCUAUCUUUAAGGUCUCACUAGUUAAAAUUAUUUUCAAAUUCAUGAUUGCAUGUGCUUGCAUAGCAUGCCUUAGUAGUGGGUUACUUUCUAAGAAUUUUAUAUACUCAACAUUUCUUUAACAUUUUUUUCUAGGUAUUGCAAAGAACAUAUUGGGCGUAUGACGAGGGAGAUCUAUGAUUGUGCCAUUGGACUAGUUUCAACGUUUUUGCUCAGUUUUAUGUUUCCAAGUUAUUUUAAUGUUUUGGUUUAGGACUUGAUGUUAGAUAGAAAAAUUUAUGUUUCAAAAAUUGUUUUUGUAAAUGUUUUUAAGGAACCGCGAACAUAAGUUUUAUUUGUUUAAUGAUUUAUUCAUUUUUAUAAAAUGUUUUGAAAUUGUUA